rnacentral:tRNA from 1 species
GCCGGAGUGGCGGAACUGGUAUACGCGCACGACUUAAAAUCGUGUACCUCUGGUAUGCGGGUUCGACUCCCGCCUCCGGCA